GGCCGGCCGGUGGCCCCGCGGCCCGCAGUCCCCAGGGCGGCGCCCCGAGGGCUGCGAAGCGGCGCAGGCGGAGGUACAGAAAGAAGACAAUGAGCCUCGAUGGAACAGAGCGAGAUGCAUCGCUGGGCUGGUCCUCUGCCCCCAGCCACAAGUGAUCUAGACCAUUCCCGUCUAGAGCCUUCGGAGGGAGCAUGCACGCCCCGCCGGCGCCUUGAUUUGGGGCUGGGAGAACCGUGAGGGAAUCCAUUUCUGUUGCUGGUCAUUGGCAAGGGCAGCCACAGGAAGAGCCAUGGGCUUCCUGGUCAGAUAGCUGGGCUUCAGAUCUUGACUCCCCCUCACUCACUUGUGACCUCAGACAAAUCAUUUGCCCCUUCUGCGCCUCCGUUUCUUCAUCUGGAAAAUGGGGCUAAUGAUAAAGCCUCAUCCUAGAGUUUGUGUGACAAUUGAGUUGAAAUGAUUAAAAAAUGAUUAAAACAAAGCCUGUUGCCUUGUAAGUGUCCCCACAUCAUUAGCUUUUAUUAACAUUACUUGCCUUGCUAACACUGGUAUCAACUGCGUGCCCUGAGUGCCUGCGAGCCUGUAUCUCAGCAACCCCUGAGCUCCUGCACAUACAACCCAGUUUCUCCCUGCUCAAGCCCGUCUAUGGCUCCCCAGCGCCCUGCGGACGCACUUGGAGUUCACUAGCCUGCCCUCCAAGACCCUGUGUCGCCUG